rnacentral:rRNA from 1 species
AUACGGAGGAUGCAAGCGUUAUCCGGAUUCAUUGGGUUUAAAGGGUGCGCAGGCGGGCUUGUAAGUCAGUGGUGAAAUAUUGUCGCUUAACGAUAAGGUUGCCAUUGAUACUGCAGGUCUUGAGUAUGGUUGAGGUAGGCGGAAUGUGCAGUGUAGCGGUGAAAUGCAUAGAGAUUGCACAGAACACCGAUUGCGAAGGCAGCUUACUAAACCGUAACUGACGCUGAGGCACGAAAGCGUGGGGAGCGAACAGGAUUAGAUACCCUGGUAGUCCACGCCGUAAACGAUGUUCACUCGCUGUUUGCGAUAUACAGCAAGCGGCUUAGCGAAAGCAUUAAGUGAACCACCUGGGGAGUACGAUCGCAAGGUUGAA